AAAGGGAGACCUAAUUCCAGUAGGAGACGAAAAAAAAGUAGUCCCUGCCAAGAAUCAAUCCCAAAAGGUCGGAGCGAGGCAAAAUUGGCUUUCAAACUAGGUUCUGGGUUCACACAAGACCUGAAUCAGGAACAAGGGCUAUUAGCUCAGGUGGUUAGAGCGCACCCCUGAUAAGGGUGAGGUCCCUGGUUCGAGUCCAGGAUGGCCCACCUGCACAGGUGGAAGAAAGAAAAGAAGCUCCGAAUCAGCACCUUAUCUUACUUAUAUAGUAAGAGAGAAUGCUGGCUCUGAGUACAGAGUCCAGAGGAACCUUGAAAACUGCAUAGAGCUAGGUGAAAAAGCCAAAAAAGGAGACCGCAAG
rnacentral:tRNA from 1 species